AUUGAACGCUGGCGGCAGGCCUAACACAUGCAAGUCGAACGGUAACAGGAAGCAGCUUGCUGCUUCGCUGACGAGUGGCGGACGGGUGAGUAAUGUCUGGGAAGCUGCCUGAUGGAGGGGGAUAACUACUGGAAACGGUAGCUAAUACCGCAUAAUGUCGCAAGACCAAAAGAGGGGGACCUUCGGGCCUCUUGCCAUCGGAUGUGCCCAGAUGGGAUUAGCUUGUUGUGGGUAACGGCUCACCAAGGCGACGAUCCCUAGCUGGUCUGAGAGGAUGACCAGCCACACUGGAACUGAGACACGGUCCAGACUCCUACGGGAGGCAGCAGUGGGGAAUAUUGCACAAUGGGCGCAAGCCUGAUGCAGCCAUGCCGCGUGUAUGAAGAAGGCC
rnacentral:rRNA from 1 species